CGCUGAAAUAAUAAUUAUUAAAUGGUUUCCAGGUAUGGUUAUUUUGAAAAAUUAGACCUUCAACAGGUAAAAGCGGGAAUGGGAAAGAUUUUAGGAUCGGUAAAAAAGAAUUUAUGUGGGUAUUUAAACGUGCCACUGGCAGUGAAUGCAGGUAAUUAUGUAUAUUGAUGACGUAUCCAUUGUAGCUAUGGGACUGUGAAAGCAAAGACGUCACACAAUAUAGAAAAUGGGGAUAACUUUUCCAGUGGAAAUAAUGUAUUUACAAAUAACAGCAAGGCAAAAGCUGUGUAAUUCCAUAUCGGUACAACAGACCCAGCCGCCAAAAUUAAUUCUGGCCAAAUUCGUAGCUGUCACUGCAGAAUGAUAUAUAACAUGGGAAACGCUCAUAGAAAAAUAUCCACAAAAAUUCAUUUCUGAUGAAGAAAAUGUCCACUUCAAUAAAUUAGACACAUUAUUCAAAACGAAUGCAGUCCAGUGAGGUUCCUGAUUUCAUUUAAUAUUAUUCUGCUUACAUUAUAAUAUCUGUAUAUUUGUACUGUAGAAUCUAUACUACAUAAAUAUUAUGCCCAUUAAUGUAAAUGUUAUCUUUUUCUAUUUUUGCAUUUUCUGGAAAAUGUAACUAUUGUACACACAAUAAUUGUGAUUCAUACAAAUUUAAACUGUGAGCAAAUGAAUAAAUGAAAUAAUUGGUUACAUUAUUAUGAGUUGUGUGUAAACUGUACACAGAACAAUAAGGUUUAGACAAUUUCAGUUUGCAAAAGAAUUUAGAGACGGCAUUUAUGCAUGGUAUCUGUAUUGCAUUAAAGUGUGUGUUGAUGACAAGAGCUAAUGUUGGUGACCUGGAAACUAAUAGUGACUACCAUAGUUAUAAGAUAUUGAACUGUGCAUUCUUUCAUGUAAAGUGAGCAAGAAAAACAGUACCAUACUCAAAGACUUGCAAGCCGUUUUGAUGUCUUUCUUUACAGUGCACUGCCGACAUAUAAAAAAGGGUUGGAGAAGAAGCUGCUUUUAGAAAAAGAGUCAAAAACAUUUCUUGUUGAGGAGUGUUUCUACAGUGUAAGCGAAUAUUUUACCUUGCAGAAAUACUAGGCUCUUGUUUAUGCUGAAUAUUUCUUAUCCUGUGUAUGUCUUAGCACAAGACUGUUUCUGCUGUUGGUUUCCUGUUUCUGUUUCAAACGCAGUGCAAUAAACCACCUGAGAGAGGGGAGUCUUUUGCACAAACAGUUGAGAGGUAUAUCGUGUUUAAAGGUGUUUGUGUGUGUUUAUACUUGUCAGAGUUGUAAUAUAAUGUGUUCAUGUUUGUAUAUUUUUCAGAAGUGCAAUAUAACAAAGUUUCAUGUUAUGGUUACAUAGUUGAUUAUAGUUCUUGCGCAUGAUGUAAGCUCCUCGUAGACUAGGUAUAUGUGAUUUUCUUUCUGAAUCAUAUACUGAAUGAAGUGACUAAGGCAAUGCUAAUGCGCUGGACUCACUUUCCAGAGGAGCAGGAUUCAUAGCUUGUCCAGCUAGUCUAACAUGGGUUUUCCAUGUUUUUCAAAAGAAGCUAAGGUAGAUGUUAGGAAGGUUCCAUUAAUGAGGCCAUGGCUGACAUCCUGCGCCACCUAAGUCUAUGCAGAUUUUAUCAGAUCCUCACUACAGACUUGGACAGCUCUCCUGUUAUUUACAUGUAAUUGCAAUACUUGAGUUCGCGCUGCAGACUAGUCGUUCUUGGAGUUCCACAUUUUUCUGUAGCCCAGAUGGCUGU